GUGCCAGCAGCCGCGGUAAUACGUAGGUGGCGAGCGUUGUCCGGAAUCACUGGGCGUAAAGGGCGCGUAGGCUGUUAUUUAAGUCAGGUGUGUAAUCUGCGGGCUUAACCCGGAGUUUGCACCUGAUACUGGAUGGCUUGAGUGCUGGAGAGGGCAGUGGAAUUCCUAGUGUAGCGGUGAAAUGCGUAGAUAUUAGGAGGAACACCAGUGGCGAAGGCGGCUGCCUGGACAGUAACUGACGCUGAGGCGC
rnacentral:rRNA from 1 species